GACGAACCGUGCGAACGUUAUUCGGAAUCACUGGGCUUAAAGGGUACGUAGGCUGCGAGGAGGGUGGGGUGUGAAAUCCCUCGGCUUAACCGAGGAAUUGCGCUCCAAACCGCCUUGCUGGAGUGAGACAGAGGUGAGCGGAACUAAUGGUGGAGCGGUGAAAUGCGUUGAUAUCAUUAGGAACACCAGAGGCGAAGGCGGCUCACUGGGUCUCAACUGACGCUGAUGCACGAAAGCUAGGGGAGCAAACGGG
rnacentral:rRNA from 1 species